GUCUCCAGUUAACUAAAGUUUUCCUAUACGCCCCAGAUCUCAUCUGAUCUUGGAAGCUAAGCAAGGUUAGCUCUGGUUAGUACUUGGAUGAGAGAUCCCUAGCAAAUACCAGAUGCUGUAGGCU
rnacentral:rRNA from 1 species